CAACAAGCUAAGGUUCAGGACAAGACGUGUGUUCAUGUUUGUAAGUUAGAUAAGAAGGAGACUUUAGCAGGAAUGUGGGUUGUGAGUCUGUGGGUCUUGUGUUGUGUAGCAGGAUGCAAUCAGGCUCAGUGUGACCGUCUGCUCUGCCGAUGAUAAAACACCACGUUAUCACUUUAUGCAAAGAUUUGACUUUCUGUAUGGGAAUGUAAACAAAUGAUGGAAUGUAUUUAAUCAUAGUAAUGUGAAACUAGGGACACCAUCAUGAAAUCAAAGAAUUUAAAAUAUAAAUUUCUCCCUUUUGGUUUCUGAUUUUUUCUGAAAGGAGAACAGAGGACUGAGGUGACUUUCAGAGCAGAUAUGUUGAUGUAUGAGACAAAAAAGGCAAUUUAAUGUCAGACUUUAAGCAUACCGUAGUUGUGAUGUUCAGAUAUUGUAGAAAGCAAUCAUUUUAAAACAUUUAAACUGCAUGAACCUGUCAAAAACAAAGUUUACUCAGAUCAGUAGGCUCUCACACUUUUUCUCUUGUAAAUUUUGUAAUCGCUUGGUGCACUCCUCCAUUUCAACAGAUACCAAAACAACUCUUCUUUCAGUGGUGUCACUGCUGAUCAGGAGAUCUAGUGAGAGAGUGUUGCUUCACUGACAGAUCAUCUGCUUUGAAACAGUUUGAAUUGUUUUGUUUCUCAGCUUCAGUUUGGUUUUUCUCUUUUGUUAUUUUCCAAUAAUGGAGCAGACGUUGGGCCAACACAUUCAGCCUCACUGCAUCUUUUUUUCUUCCUAUUCUCUCUCACUCAUGCAAACAAAUUGAGGCAGGAAAAGUCUGAAACGAGGCAGGCAGAGUAAUCCCUCCUCCAUCUCCCUGUCAUGGCUUCUAAUCCAAGGCCCAGAUGCCCCGAGCUCCUCAGCCAACUCUGCAUGUGUGAGGUUUGUUAGGUCACUGUAGAUGAGCACACAUACACAAACUGAGGGAUUUUGUCUGGAAACAAAGCAGGAAACAGCUGGAACCUGGGAGUGUCUUGUUAAUUUGUUAAGACUCUGCAGACUCCUGGAUGUCAGUCACAAACAGCAGAAGGUGUCGCAGCAGCUCAGUCUAGCUAAUUGUUAACUUUCACAUUAAAACUGAUAAAUGUGUUGGCUGGUUGGCAGCUAAGAUGAGUCUUUAUCAAUUGUCAUGUAGACACUGGAUGCUGCAGCUAAAGAAAAACAAUGUAAUGGAAGUUAUAGCAGCUGGGUAUCACCUCAGGUAGUCAGGUUCCACAGUAAGGCCCUUAUUUCUCAUGAAAGGCUGUGCAAGACCAGAUGUUCGCUACUUUAACUAACUUGUGCUAACAGGACAGGUAUCAUAAGCAUGUAGCAUUAAACUUUGUGAAAUAGUGUGCUAAUAUACUUGCACAAUCAUUUCUGGGUUCCUACUUAUUACCGCUCGACUGCUUCCAGUUCAACAACCGCAACGUUCAACACCCGCUGUCUACAAGAGCUGCCAAAGUUGAACAUCACCGAUGGUCAUUAGAUUUGCAGGACGACUAAAGCAUCAACCAGCAAAUGAGAUAAAGGAUUUAAAUUAUAUGCUGCAUCAUAUAUAAACAACUAUGAAGGCAAGAAAACAACUAUUAACUGGCUAACUAGCUAAUGCUAGCUAACGUCAAAUGCUAGCUUUCAGUGUACAAGUUCGCUAACAUUAACUAACCUAUCUGUAUAAUGUUAGGUAACGCUAUGUGCUUUAUCUUGUGUUAAUUCUUUAUAUUACGACCUGUUUUCUUAAUCAGCAUUUUAUAUCAGCUUUAGCUAUCGUUAGCAUUUUGGGUUAACUAACUUUAGUUGUGUUGUUAGCCACUGUUAUGCCUAACAGUAGCUAGGUAGCUAACGUUACCUAAUAUUACUUGCUACGUGUAAAGUAUCAUGGAUGUGUAAGAUGAGUUGACGUGAAUAAUACAGAUGUAACACUAAUGAGACUUUGAUUGCAUGUUAUUUUAUUCAUUGUCCAAUAAAGACAGGCUGACAGGGUGGAGCGAGAGUGCUCGCUACAUGUGCUACAUGUCAAUGAGGACGACUGAGACACAAGACAGUUUAACGAGCUGCUGCAGUAACGACAGGCCUGAAAUGCUGAAAACACAAUGUGACAAGACGCGUCUCACAGGAGAAAUGUCAGAAGACGGAGGUGAAGCCAAAGCCCAGAGGAGGCUCUUCUCAUCAGCAGACACCUGAAAAUGUUAGCCAAAAAAAUAAAAAAAAUAAAGAAAUAAAGGACAACCAUUAGCGUCUUGUGUUUUCCCGUCGGGAUGAUCGGCCCUUGACGGCUCCGCUGACAUUUACAGGGGCCGCGGUGACAGCGGGGUCACACGCUGUCUCUCAGCAGGACGCCAAAUCUGUUGCAGGAAAUCUGGAGAAUACAAAAACGUGCAGGAUGUCGAGACUCUUCCAGAAGCCAACUCGGCGGCGCAGACAGACGGACGGACAGACUGGUUAGUGUGAUUAGGACGUGGGGAUGAUGGCAGCCUCAUUUUCUUGUGGCAGCAGUUUGAUUACUGACACUUUGAUAAACAAAAAGCAUUGUGGCGUGACUGCACCAUAAUAACCUCGUCCACCUUUACGUGCUGAAGGAGCCCAUCUCUGAUGUAAGUUGAAGGUAAACUCACCAACUUCAAACACAUUUUUAAUUGAGAAAAAUGCAGUUUUCCAACUCUUUUUUAGUUUGAUAGCAACAUUAAUGGCUUAAGAUAGAAAUCACAAUCUUGUGUAAGUGACAUUAAGGAAUUGUAAGGAUUUAGUGGCAGUUAAAUACUAAUACAGAAACAUGUGUUCGUCUCUCCUGAGUGAUCACUGGGUCGAGAGGGAAAUGUAGGACUCUGUAUAACCAGGAAUAUUCAGAGGUAGAAUGAACUC